rnacentral:rRNA from 1 species
UGGUGUACAGGUGGUGCAUGGUUGUCGUCAGCUCGUGUCGUGAGAUGUUGGGUUAAGUCCCGCAACGAGCGCAACCCUUGUCUUAUGUUGCCAGCACGUGAUGGUGGGGACGUCAUGAGAGACUGCCGGGGUUAACUCGGAGGAAGGUGGGGAUGACGUCAAAUCAUCAUGCCCCUUAUGUCCAGGGCUUCACACAUGCUACAAUGGUCGGUACAACGCGUGUGCGACACUGUGAGGUGAAGCUAAUCGCUCUAAAGCCGGUCGUAGUUCGGAUUGGGGUCUGCAACUCGACCCCAUGAAGUCGGAGUCGCUAGUAAUCGCAGAUCAGCAACGCUGCGGUGAAUACGUUCCCGGGCCUU